rnacentral:rRNA from 1 species
UACAGAGGUCCCAAGCGUUGUUCGGAUUCAUUGGGCGUAAAGGGUGCGUAGGCGGCGCGGUAAGUCGGGUGUGAAAUCUCGGAGCUUAACUCCGAAACUGCAUUCGAUACUGCCGUGCUUGAGGACUGGAGAGGAGACUGGAAUUUACGGUGUAGCGGUGAAAUGCGUAGAUAUCGAGAGGAACACCUGCGGCGAAGGCGGGUUGCUGGGCUGACACUGACGCUGAUGCGCGAAAGCCAGGGGAGCGAACGGG